GCGUGGGCGUCGUGGCGUGCGCCUGUAAUCUAGGUACUUGGAGGCCAGGGUGCGGAAGUUUGGCAUAUGGGUGCUCAUGUUGAUCGGGCGUCCAUGUUAAGCACGGCGCCGAUAUGGAUGACCUGUCGGAGGGUGGGUUAUCCAGGUCGUCUAAGGAGGGGCGGACCAGCCCAGGGGGAGUCCCGGCAGGAAAAAGUCCCCGCGUGGUGCAGUAGUAUAAAAGCCCCCAAAUGCCCUGGUAUGGCCGACAGUGGGGAGAGUCUACUCUAC
rnacentral:SRP_RNA from 1 species